rnacentral:rRNA from 1 species
UGGGGAAUAUUGCACAAUGGGGGAAACCCUGAUGCAGCGACGCCGCGUGAGCGAAGAAGGCUUUCGAGUCGUAAAGCUCUGUCCUAUGAGAAGAUAAUGACGGUAUCAUAGGAGGAAGCCCUGGCUAAAUACGUGCCAGCAGCCGCGGUAAUACGUAUGGGGCGAGCGUUGUCCGGAAUUAUUGGGCGUAAAGGGUACGUAGGUGGUUUUUUAAGUCAGGUGUCAAAGCGUGGAGCUUAACUCCAUUAAGCACUUGAAACUGAAAGACUUGAGUGAAGGAGAGGAAAGUGGAAUUCCUAGUGUAGCGGUGAAAUGCGUAGAUAUUAGGAGGAAUACCGGUGGCGAAGGCGACUUUCUGGACUUUUACUGACGCUCAGGUACGAAAGCGUGAGGAGCAAACAGG